CCUACGGGAGGCAGCAGUGAGGAAUAUUGGUCAAUGGCCGGGAGGCUGAACCAUCCAAGUCGCGUGAGGGAAGACGGCCCUACGGGUUGUAAACCUCUUUUGUCAGGGAGCAAGGUGCAGGUCGGGACCUGCUGUGAGAGUACCUGAAGAAAAAGCAUCGGCUAACUCCGUGCCCGCAGCCGCGGUACUACGGGGGAUGCGCGCGUUAUGCGGAUUUAUUGGGUUUAAAGGGGGCGCAGGCGGGCUGUUAAGUCAUCGGUCAAAUGUCGGGGCUCAACCCCGGCCUGCCGUUGAUACUGGCAGUCUUGAGUACAGUUGAGGUAGGCGGAAGUCGUGGUGUAGCGGUGAAAUGCUUAGAUAUCACGAAGAACUCCGAUUGCGAAGGCAGCUUACUAAACUGCCACUGACAUUGAUGCUCGAAAGUGUGGGUAUCAAACAGGAUUAGAUACCCUUGUAGUC
rnacentral:rRNA from 1 species